rnacentral:rRNA from 1 species
UGAUCCUGGCUCAGGAUGAACGCUGGCGGCGUGCUUAACACAUGCAAGUCGAACGAAGCAUUUAGAACAGAUUACUUCGGUUUGAAGUUCUUUAUGACUGAGUGGCGGACGGGUGAGUAACGCGUGGGUAACCUGCCUUGUACUGGGGGAUAGCAGCUGGAAACGGCUGGUAAUACCGCAUAAGCGCACAAUGUUGCAUGACAUGGUGUGAAAAACUCCGGUGGUAUAAGAUGGACCCGCGUCUGAUUAGCUAGUUGGUGAGGUAACGGCCCACCAAGGCGACGAUCAGUAGCCGACCUGAGAGGGUGACCGGCCACAUUGGGACUGAGACACGGCCCAGACUCCUACGGGAGGCAGCAGUGGGGAAUAUUGCACAAUGGAGGAAACUCUGAUGCAGCGACGCCGCGUGAGUGAAGAAGUAUUUCGGUAUGUAAAGCUCUAUCAGCAGGGAAGAUAAUGACGGUACCUGACUAAGAAGCUCCGGCUAAAUACGUGCCAGCAGCCGCGGUAAUACGUAUGGAGCAAGCGUUAUCCGGAUUUACUGGGUGUAAAGGGAGUGUAGGUGGCCAUGCAAGUCAGAAGUGAAAAUCCGGGGCUCAACCCCGGAACUGCUUUUGAAACUGUAAGGCUGGAGUGCAGGAGGGGUGAGUGGAAUUCCUAGUGUAGCGGUGAAAUGCGUAGAUAUUAGGAGGAACACCAGUGGCGAAGGCGGCUUGCUGGACUGUAACUGACACUGAGGCUCGAAAGCGUGGGGAGCAAACAGGAUUAGAUACCCUGGUAGUCCACGC